CCUACGGGAGGCAGCAGUGGGGAAUAUUGCGCAAUGGGGGCAACCCUGACGCAGCAACGCCGCGUGAAGGAAGAAGGUCUUCGGAUUGUAAACUUUUGUCUUAUGGGAAGAUAAUGACGGUACCAUAGGAGGAAGCUCCGGCUAACUACGUGCCAGCAGCCGCGGUAAUA
rnacentral:rRNA from 1 species